CGCUCGCCAGCUCCUCACAGCUACAAGCAGUGAUAAACCAUGAAGAACUUGCCCAUCGUUCUCGUUAUUGUUCUGCUGUCGGCAGUGAUGCUGGCGGAUGCUCAGGGGUUUCGAGGAGGCCGAGUUGUUGGUCGUCAGUGUGAUCGACAACUCUGCCGGCUUGGACAACGUUGCGUCGAGGUACCAAUUAGAUGCUUCAGGGCACCCUGCCCACGGCUGUUCAGAUGCGUCUGAAGGAAGAAUUCCUGAGAUAAAAACACUUCUUCCCCAAAGCCCAGCCUCGAGAGUUUCGUGUUUAGCAGCAGACGAAUGACAGGUCCAAGAAGACAUAGCUUAUUUGAAAAUAAUAUGCUAAUAAAACAUAUUCACUACUCA